rnacentral:rRNA from 1 species
AUUGAACGCUGGCGGCAUGCCUUACACAUGCAAGUCGAACGGUAACAGGUCUUUCGGGAUGCUGACGAGUGGCGAACGGGUGAGUAAUACAUCGGAACGUGCCUAGUAGUGGGGGAUAACUACUCGAAAGAGUGGCUAAUACCGCAUGAGAUCUAUGGAUGAAAGCAGGGGACCUUUUGGCCUUGUGCUACUAGAGCGGCCGAUGGCAGAUUAGGUAGUUGGUGGGAUAAAAGCUUACCAAGCCUACGAUCUGUAGCUGGUCUGAGAGGACGAUCAGCCACACUGGGACUGAGACACGGCCCAGACUCCUACGGGAGGCAGCAGUGGGGAAUUUUGGACAAUGGGCGCAAGCCUGAUCCAGCAAUGCCGCGUGCAGGAUGAAGGCCUUCGGGUUGUAAACUGCUUUUGUACGGAACGAAAAGUCUUGGGUUAAUACCCUGGGAUCAUGACGGUACCGUAAGAAUAAGCACCGGCUAACUACGUG